GACGAACGCUGGCGGCGUGCUUAACACAUGCAAGUCGAACGGAAAGGCCCUGCUUUUGUGGGGUGCUCGAGUGGCGAACGGGUGAGUAACACGUGAGUAACCUGCCCUUGACUUUGGGAUAACUUCAGGAAACUGGGGCUAAUACCGGAUAGGAGCUCCUGCUGCAUGGUGGGGGUUGGAAAGUUUCGGCGGUUGGGGAUGGACUCGCGGCUUAUCAGCUUGUUGGUGGGGUAGUGGCUUACCAAGGCUUUGACGGGUAGCCGGCCUGAGAGGGUGACCGGGCACAUUGGGACUGAGAUACGGCCCAGACUCCUACGGGAGGCAGCAGUGGGGAAUAUUGCACAAUGGGCGGAAGCCUGAUGCAGCAACGCCGCGUGCGGGAUGACGGCCUUCGGGCUGUAAACCGCUUUCGCCUGUGACGAAGCGUGAGUGACGGUAAUGGGUAAAGAAGCACCGGCUAACUACGUG
rnacentral:rRNA from 1 species